AUUGAACGCUGGCGGCAGGCCUAACACAUGCAAGUCGCGCGGAGCGGCGGACGGGUGAGUAAUGCCUAUGAAUCUGCCUGGUAGUGGGGGAUAACGUCCGGAAACGGGCGCUAAUACCGCAUACUAUCCAAUGAGCCUAGGGGGGAUUCGCUAGUUGGUGGUGUAAAGGCCUACCAAGGCGACGAUCCGUACCUGGUCUGAGAGGAUGAUCAGUCACACGUGAACUGAGACACGGUCCAGACUCCUACGGGAGUCAGCAGUGGGGAAUAUUGGACAAUGGGCGAAAGCCUGAUCAAGCCAUGCCGCGGGUGGGAAGAAGGCCUUCGGGUUGUAAAGUACUUUCAGCGGGGAGGCGUUACCCGCAGAAGAAGCACCGGCUAACUCCGUGCCAGCAGCCGCGGUAAUUC
rnacentral:rRNA from 1 species